CUUCAUGAUGCCCCAGUCCUUCAUUCAGCGUUUUCUUCCAGGACCUCCCUCCCCAUCCAGUGAUCAGGUUGCAGGGAGAACUUGGCCCCAGUGUGGAAACUAAGGUACUUUUUGCCUUUAUUAUUUUUUUUUUUGUUUUGUUUUUUUUGGUGGGGGGGGGGUUACUUUGUGGUUAAUCUAACCAAGAAACACUGUUUUUUGGUUGUUUUUGCAGUAACCCUUUAAUUGCUGUAUUCUCAAUCAGCAUCAACUGAAAUUAUAUUGGGCACAUUGUACCUCUAUGCAGUAUGGGCUCUGAAUGCACAAUGCAGGUGGAAAGUCUUGGCCCAACUUUCACCAGCAUUACACUGUCUGUGCGGACGAAUUGUCUCUGGUUUGUGAAGGAAACACAGAGAAGGCUUUCGAAAGUUUAUUUUUCACUCUA